rnacentral:rRNA from 1 species
AAAAACAUGGUUUCUUGAAUUAUAAUUAAGAGAUCUAACCUGCCCACUGAGGAAUUUUAAAGGGCCGCGGUAAUUUGACUGUGCAAAGGUAGCAUAAUCAUUAGUCUUUUAAUUGGAGGCUGGAAUGAAUGGUUGUAUGAGGUGAAUUCUGUUUUAUAAUAAUUUUAAUUGAAUUUAGAUUUUAAGUAAAAAGACUUAAAUAUUAUUAAGGGACGAGAAGACCCUAUAGAAUUUAAUAAAUGUUGUAAUUAGUUGAGUUAAUAAAUAAUUUUUGAUUAUUAUAUAAUUUAUUUAGUUGGGGUGAUUAGAAAAUAAAUAGAACUUUUCUUUAAUUUAAAUAUUAUUAUUAGUUAUAUGAUCCAUAAAUAAUGAUUAAAAGAUUAAAUUACCUUAGGGAUAACAGCAUAAUUUUUUUUGAGAGUUCAUAUUGAGAAAAAAGAUUGUGACCUCGAUGUUGGAUUAAGAUAAAUUAUAAAUGUAGAUGUUUAUAAAUUAGGUCUGUUCGACCUUUAAAAUCUUACAUGAUCUGA